AUGGCUCAGAUUGAACGCUGGCGGCAGGCCUAAUACAUGCAAGUCGAACGGUAACAUAGGAAAAGCUUGCUUUUCCUGAUGACGAGUGGCGGACGGGUGAGUAAAGUUUGGGAAGCUACCUGAUAGAGGGGGACAACAGUUGGAAACGACUGCUAAUACCGCAUACAGCCUGAGGGUGAAAGCAGCGAUGCGCUAUCAGAUGCGCCCAAAUGGGAUUAGCUAGUAGGUGAGGUAAAGGCUCACCUAGGCGACGAUCUCUAGCUG
rnacentral:rRNA from 1 species